GAACUACAGAGUGUACUUAAGGGUGAAAUGAGGUAUAGACUUUCAGCUAAGCAUGUUAUUUUGUGUGAUUGUUCGUCUAUAUCUGUCCGCAGAACUACAGAGUGUACUUAAGGGUGAAAUGAGGUAUAGACUUUCAGCUAAGCAUGUUAUUUUGUGUGAUUGUUCGUCUAUAUCUGUCCGCAGAACUACAGAGUGUACUUAAGGGUGAAAUGAGGUAUAGACUUUCAGCUAAGCAUGUUAUUUUGUGUGAUUGUUCGUCUAUAUCUGUCCGCAGAACUACAGAGUGUACUUAAGGGUGAAAUGAGGUAUAGACUUUCAGCUAAGCAUGUUAUUUUGUGUGAUUGUUCGUCUAUAUCUGUCCGCAGAACUACAUAGUGUACUUAAGGGUGAAAUGAGGUAUAGACUUUCAGCUAAGCAUGAUAUUUUGUGUGAUUGUUCGUCUAUAUCUGUCCGCAGAACUACAGAGUGUACUUAAGGGUGAAAUGAGGUAUAGACUUUCAGCUAAGCAUGUUAUUUUGUGUGAUUGUUCGUCUAUAUCUGUCCGCAGAACUACAGAGUGUACUUAAGGGUGAAAUGAGGUAUAGACUUUCAGCUAAGCAUGUUAUUUUGUGUGAUUGUUCGUCUAUAUCUGUCCGCAGAACUACAGAGUGUACUUAAGGGUGAAAUGAGGUAUAGACUUUCAGCUAAGCAUGUUAUUUUGUGUGAUUGUUCGUCUAUAUCUGUCCGCAGAACUACAGAGUGUACUUAAGGGUGAAAUGAGGUAUAGACUUUCAGCUAAGCAUGUUAUUUUGUGUGAUUGUUCGUCUAUAUCUGUCCGCAGAACUACAGAGUGUACUUAAGGGUGAAACGAGGUGUAGACUUUCCGCUAAGCAUGUUAUUUGGUGUGGCGUUCUCUUACCUAUUAAUUACCUUGACUGGGUUGUUCUUCUCUACAAAUAAUUAUAAUACUAUAAAAAUAUAUUUUUGAGAUAAAUAAUAUAUAAAAUACUCGUAGAAACAUUUUUCUUCAUUUGUGAUUCUUACUACAACAUUAUACGUUUAUUUAUAAUAUGUUGUUUUAUUUCUAACAUCUAAGACUGAGGUUUUGAUAUAUUGGAAAAUUACAUAAUUUCCAAAACGAGAAAAUAGUUUGGUAUGGUUUUGUAAAUCUCUAGGUACCUCUUUAAUAUAAGAAUAGGCUGUACUAAAUAUUAUCUGAGAUCCCAUCAAAUUUAAUUGCAGAAUUUUAUAAUCGCAUUUAGUGGUCUCAGUCGUAUUGUACCACACAAACACACCCACACGCGCGCACACACACACACACACACACACACACACACACACACACACACACACACACACACACACACACACACACACACACACACACAAAAUAAUUGGUAUUAAAUCAUCCUAUUUACGAAAACUGUACAUUCUGUAAACUCUUCAAUAGGAAGGCAAGUGGUUUAUAGUCUUUUUUAUUGGUAUUACGAAGGGCUCAGGGGAAGAAAGAACAUGAUAACUCCAUUUUUUCGAUUUUUAGUUUCUUAGUGAUUUAUGUUGGUAUUUGUGAAACCUAAACAAUGACUAAAUAUUAAAGGGAACAACUUGAUAACUCAUGAGAUAUUUAAAAAAGAAAAUUCAGUACUCAGGGGAAUAACUUGAUAAGUGCCAUCACUUGUUGGGAACAACAUGAUAAAUCCAUAGUUAGCAUUGUGGCCACUGUUGGGAGCAACAAUGUGACAGAUUGCUAAAGUAAACUGUAGAGGUUAUGUUUGUUGUGACAAUAGUUAAGUAACCAAGUGGCAUACAAUAUUGUUGAAAUAUCUAGUUAUGUUAUUAUGUUUAAUAGUUCAUAAGUUUAGUAGUUUAAUUAGUGAGAUUAGUGCAGUUUGCAGUGGAUGAUCUUUUGAAAUCAGAUUAUUGCUUUAUAAUGUCUGACAUUUCCUCAGAUGAAGAUUUAGGGUGUCAACCUAAUCCACCUUUAAGUAAGAAAAGGCCUAAGCAUGGGCGGCUAAGAGAAGUUGUUAAGAAAAUCAAUUUACAAAGCAGAGAAACAGGCGAGCCUUGUAAAUGUAAAAACAAAUGUUUUGAGAAAAUAAAUGAACAUGAAAGAGUAGAGGUCUUAAGGCAAAUUAAUUUGUACAAAAGUCAUGAUGAGGUUAAUCUAUAUUUAACAGGUUUAGUUAAUAUCUUACCUGUUCAGCGGCGUAGACCCAAAAAUGAAUUAAAUGCCAGUUUCGAGAUGCUACAUAUUCUUAUUCCAUCAGGGUAAAAAGAAAUGAUUCUGUUGAAGAAAUUAAAGUAUGCAAAAAUGCAUUCAUAGCUAUUAACGGUAUUUCUAGAGGUAAAUUGACUACAUUUUGAAUCGGAUGAAAAAUACAGGAACACCACCCACUUACAACAAAGGGAAACAUACCAAUAGACCACAAAAACUUGAAUAUAAUUUUAUUGAAGCAGUGAAAAAUCAUAUAAAAUCAUUCAAGGGUCGUGAAAGUCAUUAUAGUAAGAAAGAUUCAAAUAAAAUAUAUUUACCAGAAACCUUAAACGUUUCCAAAAUGUUUGGUAUGUUUAAAGAAAUCAACCCUGGUAUUGUUUGCAGUUUAGAAUCAUAUUGCACUAUAUUUAAUGAGAAUUUCAACAUAUCUUUCGGAUAUCCCAGGUCAGAUACAUGCAGCACAUGUGACAAAAAAUAUGCUGCACAAAAAAAGUUCCUUGAAAAACAGUUAGCUGAAGAAAAUGACAAAGAUAAAAAAGGAGCUUUUCUUAGCGAUAUAAGGAAAAUCGACAUUGAACAUGAUGUGCAUUUAGUCAAAGCAUAUGUUUUCUAUGACAGGAAAAAAAUAGCAAAACAUUCAAGUAGAAUGUCUCAUCAUAAGAAAGCCAUAUGUAUUGAUUUUGCCAAAAACUACCCGUGCCCUAACAUUAAUACAAACGAUGUUUACUACAGAAGGCAAUUAUCAGUAUAUGCUUUCAAUAUUCACAUUUUAUCUGAUAGCAGAAGCAUAUUUUAUUUGUAUCCACAGACAACAGCGAAUAAAGGAAGUGACGAAGUAGCGUCAUUUUUACACGAUUUUGUGUACAAUCAUUUAGACAAAGAUGUGACUCGUCUAGAGAUCUUCUCAGACUCAUGUGGAGGUUAAAACAAAAAUAAAACUUUGCUUCGACUCAUGCACCACCUAGUUCAUGUUGAGAACCGUUUUGAGUACAUCAAAAUGACAUUUCCUAUCCGUGGGCACUCAUAUUUAGAGUGCGAUAAAAAUACUGGUUUGGUUAAACACUCUUCACCAGCUGAGACACCGCAGGAUUGGGUACAGAUAUUUAAAAAUUCCAGAAGCAAGCCAUCACCACUUAUCGUUACCGGAGUUGUCCAGGAAAUGGUAAAGGAUUGGGCAAAGUUUUUAGAUGAAAAGUAUUGUAAUAAAAAACUUCCAUGCAAGUCCAGAGAUAUAAGAGAAUUUGAAGUGGUGAGGGAACAUCCUGCUUUUAUUAGGACCAGGGAGACAUUCAAUGGCCACUGGAAUGAAAUAUUAAUUUUGCAACAAGCAUUUGGGAAGAAAAAGAAAAAUAUCUCAUCUGCAGACGUUUUAAAAAGUGGCAAAAAGGAGACUUAGCAGAAGGCGAAUUCAACUUGCCCAGUCCUGUAUAUGAAGGUACGUUUAUUAUACAUACUCAAAUUAUUGAAUUUUAAUCUAUAAAAGAUACGGAAUUUUUUAAGAUGAUUUUAAUCAAGUAAUAAUAAAAAAUAACUCCUGAUACACCUGGUUAUUUUCCAAACGGAUUGAAAUAUCGAUAUACAAUCUUCAUCAUACUUAUUAGAAUACUUUUUUGUAAUCUUUUGAGGGUGAACAUAUUUAACCCCUAUUUUAUAAGGGAGGUAGAGGAGUAUUCACUUUAAAUUUUCAAAUUGCAACCAUUAUCUUGUGACAUGUCAUUUGAAUGGUAAAUUAAAAAAAUAAAACACAACAUGACAUAAACAAAACAUCUCUACGACGAUACUAGCAAAAGUUAUGGGUUGAUAGCUUACACUUGCAUUGAAUGAAUUAUCUUACAACAUUGCUAAUUUGACGCCUCUACUACUGCAAAUAAGUUUUAGAGAAUUUUAUACAUUUUACGUUAGUUCUCUGGUAGUUACACCACUUUACAUGGAGAGAUUUCAAAAGAUUACGCUGUCAGUUCUUUAUUAAACAAUAACACAUGGGGAUAUUAUGUGUAUAGCUUUAUAAUUAAUUGUACAAAAAUAUUACAGAAUAGAUCUUAAAGAUCCCUGACCCUGUGCGGAUUGUUAUAAAACAGCUGAUCUUCAGAGAUAAAGUGAUGCCAACUGUUUACGUUAUUUAUACCUCACUUUGCAUAAACGACGGAGCAAUGCGACUAUUGUCUGCUUGUUCACAUCCGUAUUAGUGGUGAUAAUGUUAAUGGCUUCUCUUACCUCUGUAACUGAUGACGAGCUUUGUAAUUUAUCUGUCUGGAUUAAUUCAGUGCCUGCAGAAUAUUCAUAAGUAUUAAUAACGGUGUAUGGUUAAGGGAAACCCUACUCAACGUAAUUGCCCUUGGACGUGCAAUCAAUCUGACUUUGGAUUAUUUACCGCAGUAAUUACAUCGCGAUAGUGAAUAUAUUUGUACUGUAUGUUCUUUUCCUACAAAUGUAAUUUUCCCUUAUUAGAAUAAAAUAUUUUGAAAUCACGUGCAGCUUCGAUAUACGUAAUAGAUUACAAGUCUGUCGCGUGCAUGUACUAACAGCCACAAUGAUAUUUUGAAUUAAUAUAAUUCAAGUUUAAGGCAAGUAUAAGGCAGAGUUUUAGCGAAGUAUAUCACUCGAGAAUGUGGGAAAAUUUCAUUUCUGUCUGCAUAUCUAUCUGACUGUCCUCACCAUGUAAAGAAUAACCUAUAGACUUGAGGUUUGCUUAAACUUUAACUUUUAUAUAAGGAACACUGAGUUCGAUGAAGGCGGAGGUCACUUAAUGGGAUUUGACUGAGCGUAAGGGAAUAAUUUUACUUUAUAAAUAACCAUGGUAAUAGCAGAGUAAAUAAAUUUGGAAACAAACUGAAUAGAAUCAUGAGGUUUCAACGUGUGACAUAUGUAGCCAUAGAGAUAAAAGAAAACGUAAUAUAGUGGAAAGUAAAUGUUAUAAAUUGGUAACAAAACUUCCACAUAGACAAGAAUAAGUUCUAUGAUAGUGCAUGUCCAACCAUAGUAUUGGGCUGAGCAUCAGUAACCCGGAUCUCUCACUUGCCGGCCGAGCAUGCUGCCACUACACCACAUAGCACUUACAGUAGUACUUGUUACGAUUCAAUUAUUUUGUAUUUAACAAUUUCUGUCAGAUAUGUGUUUUUGAUUAAUCAGACUAACAUGUGAUUGGAUCAACAACAUCCGUCUUGUGUUAGAAUUUGUAAUUUUUCUUCAGUAUUCGUUUUUUAAAUAUUAAAAAAAAAUUUAAUUCCUAAAUUAUUUUUAGGUCCUUAUAAGAAUUAUUUAAUGCAAUUAUAUUUUCGGCUAAGCUAGAUUUCAAGCUAGUUACAUUAUUUUAUUUUAUUUCCAGGGUAUGCAAUCUAAAUCUUGACUUAAAACAACAACCGGUUUACUGUGUACUGAUGUAAUAUUUAGUAGGCCUAAAUUCAGUGAAUUUUAAUUUUUAGAUUCGCGGUUUUAGAAAUAUGUCCAAUUGCUGUUUAGAAUUUUGAUCUUUUGUAAAUUUUUGGAUAAUUUGAUCAUGUUGUUUUUAGUUUUUAACUCUUUGAAUUUUGAUGUACUGAUUAGUUUGUUUAGUUAUGUGCUGUGAGGUAUACAAAUAUACUCUUUUGUUUUUCUAAAUUAUAAUUCUUUAUUACUUUUUGCUUUUAUGUUGUUAAUAAUUAAAUAAAUGUUUUAGGAUGAAAUACAUUUUUAAUGUCAAAUGAACUUGGUACUGACAAGUCAGCGCUUGUGAGCGUAGAUAUGAUUACUCUUCAAUAAUAUUGGAGUAAAAUAUAAAUUUACUUCAACAUGAUCCGGUGUUUAAAACUGCUGGAUAUCUGCAUGAAGCUACAUAAUAUUCCAUCAAAUGAGAGGAGCGGUAGUAAAAUUCCAGUAUUAUUUGUAUAAACAAGGAAUAAGAUUGUGCUGACGAGAUUGUUGCUGAGACAUCACUGAUUAUAGUCACUAUUACUCAGGAAGCAGGCGUAAUUUGCUGACAUUGUGUAACCUUACUUGUUUUUAAAGUUGAAAGAAAAUGGUUAGCAGUAUACGUCAUUUAUAACUUUUGUUACUUUAGUAAUGAAUUUAAAUGAACACCAUUGUGCUGGUUAGCGUUAAGUGAGGCUGCGGAAAAAGCUACAGCUUUUCAGGAGAAUACUCUGAAAGGAAGUGAAAUCCAAUAACUUAUAUCUUGUAAAUAAAUUUGUUAUCAAUC